rnacentral:rRNA from 1 species
AUUGAACGCUGGCGGCAGGCCUAACACAUGCAAGUCGAGCGGAUGAAGGGAGCUUGCUCCUGGAUUCAGCGGCGGACGGGUGAGUAAUGCCUAGGAAUCUGCCUGGUAGUGGGGGAUAACGUCCGGAAACGGGCGCUAAUACCGCAUACGUCCUGAGGGAGAAAGUGGGGGAUCUUCGGACCUCACGCUAUCAGAUGAGCCUAGGUCGGAUUAGCUAGUUGGUGGGGUAAAGGCCUACCAAGGCGACGAUCCGUAACUGGUCUGAGAGGAUGAUCAGUCACACUGGAACUGAGACACGGUCCAGACUCCUACGGGAGGCAGCAGUGGGGAAUAUUGGACAAUGGGCGAAAGCCUGAUCCAGCCAUGCCGCGUGUGUGAAGAAGGUCUUCGGAUUCUAAAGCACUUUUAGUUGGGAGGAAGGGCAGUAAGUUAAUACCUUGCUGUUUUGACGUUACCAACAGAAUAAGCACCGGCUAACUUCGUG